rnacentral:lncRNA from 1 species
CUGUCAGACAGUUUUCACUUGACCUCGACCUCAUUUCAUGGAUCAGUGAACAAGGUUAAGUUUUGGUGGUCAAGUCCAUAUCUCAGAUACUAUAAGCAAUCGGUCUAGUGUAUUCAGUGUAUGGAAGGACUGUAAGGUGUACAUGUCCAACUGGCAGGUGUCAUCUGACCUUGACCUCAUUUUCAUGGGUUCAGUGGUUAUAGUUAAGUUUUUGUGUUUUGGUCUGUUUUUCUCAUACUUUAUGCAAUAGGUUUACUAUAUUUGUUGUAUGGAAUGAUUGUAAGAUGUACAUGUCUAGCGGGCAGAUGUCAUCUGACAUUGACCUCAUUUUCAUGGUUCAGUAG